AUUGAACGCUGGCGGCAGGCCUAACACAUGCAAGUCGAGCGGUAGAGAGAAGCUUGCUUCUCUUGAGAGCGGCGGACGGGUGAGUAAUGCCUAGGAAUCUGCCUGGUAGUGGGGGAUAACGUUCGGAAACGGACGCUAAUACCGCAUACGUCCUACGGGAGAAAGCAGGGGACCUUCGGGCCUUGCGCUAUCAGAUGAGCCUAGGUCGGAUUAGCUAGUUGGUGAGGUAAUGGCUCACCAAGGCGACGAUCCGUAACUGGUCUGAGAGGAUGAUCAGUCACACUGGAACUGAGACACGGUCCAGACUCCUACGGGAGGCAGCAGUGGGGAAUAUUGGACAAUGGGCGAAAGCCUGAUCCAGCCAUGCCGCGUGUGUGAAGAAGGUCUUCGGAUUGUAAA
rnacentral:rRNA from 1 species